GGAGAGCGCUUGCAUGGCAUGCAAGAGGUCAGCGGUUCGAUCCCGCUUACCUCCACCA
rnacentral:tRNA from 2 species